CAAAAGUGUUUGGUGUUAUUGGAAAGCCAGUUGGCCAAAGCAAAUCACCAAUUUUGUAUAAUGAGGCCUUCAAGUCAGUUGGUUUUAAUGGAGUUUAUCUGCAUUUGUUGGUAGAUGACAUUGCAAAUUUUCUCCAAACUUACUUGUCUGCAGAUUUUGCGGGAUUCAGUGUCACCAUUCCUCACAAGGAAGCUGCACUCACGUGCUGUGAUGAGGUUGAUCCAGUUGCCAAGUCAAUAGGAGCUGUUAAUUGCAUUAUAAGGAGACAAAGUGAUGGGAAGUUAUUGGGAUUCAAUCCUUCUCCUCGACCGGGCGAAAAGGGAUGAUGAUCGGUGCCGAUCCAAGUAUGGAAAAUACUGGAAAUCGUACUGCGAGAAGGUUCGGUACAGGGUCAUCCCCGGAAUUUACUGAGAAAAUGUUGCACAAGUGUUUGUUCUAUGUUGAGAAUGGCAUGUAUAUUCAUCCUUUCCAAAUUAAAUGAUGGCAGGCUGGUAUCAUGUUGUUGUUAUUGUUGUUUUUGUAAUGGUCAACUUUAUGGAUGUUGUAUUUCUCUCAUCUUCAAUGACCAAAAACUUUUCUUGUUUAGGAAAA